GCCCGCUCAGAACUUAAAGGAAUUGACGGGGGCCCGCACAAGCGGUGGAGUAUGUGGUUUAAUUCGAUGCAACGCGAAGAACCUUACCUGGUCUUGACAUCCCGGAGACCCUUAGGAAACUAGGGGGUGCUUCCAUCUGGAAGAAUCUGGAGACAGGUGCUGCAUGGCUGUCGUCAGCUCGUGUCGUGAGAUGUUGGGUUAAGUCCCGCAACGAGCGCAACCCUUGCCUUUAGUUGCCAGCAGUUCGGCUGGGCACUCUAAAGGGACUGCCGGUGUUAAACCGGAGGAAGGUGGGGAUGACGUCAAGUCCUCAUGGCCUUUAUGACCAGGGCUACACACGUACUACAAUGGCCGAUACAAAGGGCAGCGACACUGCGAGGUGAAGCCAAUCCCGUAAAAUCGGUCUCAGUCCGGAUUGGAGUCUGCAACUCGACUCCAUGAAGUUGGAAUCGCUAGUAAUCGUGGAUCAGCAUGCCACGGUGAAUACGUUCCCGGGCCUU
rnacentral:rRNA from 1 species